rnacentral:lncRNA from 1 species
CUUUAGUGUGUGAUGUAGCUACUGAGAAGAAUUUCAAAAGCUUCUAUAUUUUUUACCGAUCCUACUUUCACCCUGCUAUUAUACACAAAUGCAAAAUUAUAUCUCACUAUAGAAAGAUAGCUAGAAAAAUGCAAAACUACAAAAUAGGAGAGAAAAUAAACAUAUUUAGCAUAACCAGUAAAAAGCAUUUUUCAAUUUUGAUCAUCAAGUAUCGACCCCUUUUUAAAUGUCAUCUUCACAUGAAGUCCUUCUUGCUUUGUUGUCCCUAUCCCAAUAUGCAGGCAUGUAUUUGUCAAGAGAUAGCUUCCCACUGAAUGAUUCAAGUGGCUCUUCUAACAGAGGACCGCUGUAAUGGUGCUGCAUCUGCAAACUCGUGUCCAUGACCAUGUCACCGUUCAGUAUACGA